rnacentral:tRNA from 1 species
AUAGGAAUUGAACCUAUACCUGAGAGAUCAAAACCCUCCGUAAUUCCAUUUUACCACCCUCU